AGCGGAAGUGACGCCUGCAAAGGCCCGACUCUUUUCUAGUGAUGGCUGCGUCCUGUAGUUCUCAGUGUCUUCACCUCCGGUUCAUCUUUACGUCUAGGAAGUCGCCGAGGCAAGGAUGGGGGGUGACGGCGGCCGUGGAGGGUCAGUUUAAGGCGUGGCUGUGUGUGCAGCUCGCCGAGGGGCGGUCCCCGUAGGCCCGAAGCCUAGGACGGGCGGGUCUCACGGGCACCCCGCCUCCCUCUGGCGAAUGCUCUCCAAGCUUCCAUCUGCUCGCUCGCCCUCUGCAGAAGCCGCCUUCCAGAUUCCUCUUCCAGCACAGAAGCCCGCCACGGGCCAUCUCUCUGCAGCCGCCGCCUCCACUGCACAGCCCAGCGAUUGUGGAGCUCGGGUGAGCGCCCCAGGCUGUGAUUUGUUCCUUGCAGAGUGUGGCUUUGUCUUUGGCAUCGUCUGAUUAAUUCUGCCACAUGACAUUCGGGUAGAAAAAGUAUUCGUAGGUAUCUAGGACUAAACAUUUCUAUUUGGAGGUCAAUCUUUAUUAUUUGGCUUUUCCAGAACUCGCUAGGUAGACCAGGCUGACCUAAACUCCUGGAGAUCCGCCUGCCUCUGCUGGCAUUAAAGGCUUUUGCCACCGCCUGCUAAAUGUUUAUUUCCUUAAUCUUAACCUUUUUUCAUUUUCCAUGCCUUUCCUUCCUCACUCUCUCCAUUUCCUUUCUCUUUCUUCACCUCUCCUCCUCUUGACUUUACUGCUAGUAGAACUGCUCAUUCAGUGAGCUACUAACCCUUGCCCUGAACAUUUUAUACAUAAAGUACAGAUACUGUGUGAUUAUGGCUUUCUACUGGUGAGAAUGGGAGUACCCUGUUCUCUUUAUUUGAAGUUUCCAGGCCUGUACAUCCCUAUAGAGU
rnacentral:lncRNA from 1 species